rnacentral:rRNA from 1 species
UACGUAGGGUCCGAGCGUUGUCCGGAAUUAUUGGGCGUAAAGGGCUCGUAGGCGGUUUGUCGCGUCGGGAGUGAAAACUCAGGGCUCAACCCUGAGCGUGCUUCCGAUACGGGCAGACUAGAGGUAUGCAGGGGAGAACGGAAUUCCUGGUGUAGCGGUGGAAUGCGCAGAUAUCAGGAGGAACACCGGUGGCGAAGGCGGUUCUCUGGGCCUGUACUGACGCUGAGGAGCGAAAGCGUGGGGAGCGAACAGG